rnacentral:rRNA from 1 species
UGGGGAAUAUUGCACAAUGGGCGAAAGCCUGAUGCAGCAACGCCGCGUGAGUGAUGAAGGCCUUCGGGUUGUAAAGCUCUGUCUUUUGGGACGAUAAUGACGGUACCAAAGGAGGAAGCCACGGCUAACUACGUGCCAGCAGCCGCGGUAAUACGUAGGUGGCAAGUGUUGUCCGGAUUUACUGGGCGUAAAGGAUGCGUAGGCGGAUUUUUAAGUGAGAUGUGAAAACCCUAAGCUUAACUUGGGGACUGCAUUUCAUACUGGAAAUCUAGAGUGCGGGAGAGGAGAAUGGAAUUCCUAGUGUAGCGGUGAAAUGCGUAGAGAUUAGGAAGAACACCAGUGGCGAAGGCGAUUCUCUGGACCGUAACUGACGCUGAGGCAUGAAAGCGUGGGUAGCAAACAGGAUUAGAUACCCUGGUAGUCCACGCCGUAAACGAUGAGUACUAGGUGUAGGAGGUAUCGACCCCUUCUGUGCCGCAGUUAACACAAUAAGUACUCCGCCUGGGAAGUACGAUCGCAAGAUUAAAACUCAAAGGAAUUGACGGGGUCAUAGCUGUUUCCU